UACAGAGGGUGCGAGCGUUGUCCGGAAUCACUGGGCGUAAAGGGCGCGUAGGUGGCCUGAUAAGUAGGGGGUGAAAUCUCGAGGCUCAACUUCGAGGCUGCCUUCUAAACUGUCGGGCUUGAGCAGAGUAGAGGCAGGUGGAAUUCCCGGUGUAGCGGUGGAAUGCGUAGAGAUCGGGAAGAACAUCGGUGGCGAAGGCGGCCUGCUGGGCUCUUGCUGACACUGAGGCGCGAAAGCGUGGGGAGCGAACAGG
rnacentral:rRNA from 1 species